rnacentral:lncRNA from 1 species
AUGGCGAACUCAGAUAGGAUCAAGAAAAGGGGUUUGGGCAUUAUCUUGGUAUCAGCACCUCAAGAACGACCUGGAAAAGCUCUACUACCGCAGAGAAUAUUGUGCCCUGUGCUACUGAAAAACCAUGCCAGUGAGAGGAAAUGGCACUAACAACUUUGCAGAAUCGGCCAAGAGGAUCUAAAAGGAUAAAAUUCUGCCUGGAACAAAUGCUUAUAACGUCCCCCAGCUCUUUGACUUCUUGACCACUCGUCUGUCAGCUUACUAUGAAGCCAAAGCGGCUUAGACAUGCGUGCAUACAUUUUAUGUAUGGGUGGUCUAUUCACAGAUCAAUGACAUGCACUUUGAAGUGAAGCGCUCGUCCUCACCUGGCCAGAUCUACAUAGUGGACAUGUAUAUGGAGAUGUGCAAUUGUCCAGUGGGAUGAAAAGGUGAUCCAUGCAAGCACCAGACUGCCAUUAUCAUCCAUCACCAGUGCCAGAGCAGCAGCUUCUUGCCACUAACAUCUGAAAUGAGAGCAAAAAUGUUGCAUAUAGGCACAAAUUAAAAUGUUGUAAAUCGAAAAUAUAUAUAUUUUUAAUAAGUUUAGUUUUAUUGUGUAAGACAUCCCUUAAAAAAUGUGAUGCAUGUUUGGCCGAUGUGGCAGGGUGAACUGCGCUAAGAGAUCCAGUGCCAUCCAGUGAGCCUCCAGGCACACAGUGCCUCAAAUCUCAGCGCAACCAAACAUCGGUCGCACACAGGAAGGACAGGUUGGGUGGACGACAAAUCCGGCUGCAGGACGAACCACAAAAACAUCAGGGCCUGACCUGUUGAGAUUACAUACACUUUUUUAAUGUAAUCGUUGUUCAGGAGUUGUCUGUACUGUCAAACUUGUUUUCACAAGGUGAAAGACAACCCCGACUCCACAGAAAAGACCCGUUGCAACUGACCAAUGCUACACAUCUACCAGAAGCUCACAGAAUGGUUUAUUUAGGGACAGAAAUGAGCCAGGGAUUCCAGACCCUGGUGAAAGCAGAGUUUUGGUGUAAAUAUUUCACUUCACAGCCUUAAGUAUUUAUUUUAUUAUUAAUGUAACAUUGUACAGUUGAUUGAUCCAAAUAAUGAAUGUACAGUAUUUAUUUAAUUAUUAUUGUGUGAUUACAGUUGAUUGAUCCAAAUAAUGAAUGUACAGUAUUUAUUUAAUUAUUAUUGUGUGAUUACAGUUGAUUGAUCCAAAUAAUGAAUGUACAGUAUUUAUUUAAUUAUUAAUGUAACAUUGUACAGUUGAUUGAUCCAAAUAAUGAAUGUACAGUAUUUAUUUAAUUAUUAUUGUGUGAUUACAGUUGAUUGAUCCAAUUACUAUUUUGAAUGUCAAUAUUUUGUCAGAGUUUGAUGGAAUAAAAUAAUUUAUUUUAAUGCUAAAUCUGUUUGUUUCAUGAGUGCCAUUGAUCUUUCAGAUACGUCAAUAAAUGGCUAUGGUAUGCUUAUUAUAAGACGCAGACAUUGAGUCUGUCGGUGGUGAU